UCUCUGAGUAGACGGAAGUAACUAGAGAAAGUACACAAGCCGUGAUGAGUUCCAGCCUUCUCCUGUGAUUACCUCUAGUUAGCAUUCUUUGUUUUAGCCAAGGCCAGUGUGCGUCCUUCAGAAAUGCGAGUUCAUAUCUUACAAUUCAUGUGUUAUGGACGCACUCCUUUGUUGUGCUAAUUAGCGUUUUUACCAAGAGCUAGCAACUGUAAGCUUGCUAACCCUGUUGUUUCUGUCAUCUCAUUUCAGACAUUUAACGUUAGCAUUUCAAUGUCUAGUCUUAUGCCCUGUGGUUAUAUGGAUGUAUACUGAUUGUGGGUAUUUUGUUAGCAAUGAGCCUUGUGGAUGCAUUAUACAUUCAAGUUCAUGCAGUAGUGUGAGGAUGAUGGUGGUGUGUAGUUGCACUCCUCUGAUCAUUCCUUAGUGAAGUCACAGCCAUGUUAGGUUGUAUUGCCCUGUGCAGCAGAUAAGAUAUAAAUAAUAUGGCUACAAUUGGUUAUGUAAUUGGAGGUUGUAUUAAGCCUAUACCUGCCAUUUACUAUUGUAUUUCAUUUCCCCCUUUUCAGAACCACACAAACUCUUAGUUAACACAAUUGUUAAGCCAUACACUGUGCUGUGCUGCUACUGCUCUGUGAAUCAGCAUCAUUAAACAACCUCAACUGGAAUCAUACCAGUCUGUCAUCUGUGCUCUUACAAGCACCUGCGAGAGAACACAGUGCUAAGUAAAACCUAACCCUAAAGAAUAUACAGUCCACCAAGUCCUCAACUAUCUCCAGGACAGGACCUAGGGGUUCUGCCUAACACCCAGACAUGGAUCCAGCUGAUGUCCUUCAUUACCAACCACCCUCCAGCUUUUCAUUACAUCAGCUACUGUUAUUGUCAAGUUGUCAUUAUCUGCUAAGAAAGAGCAAGAAAACUAUCAUACUGGGCACAUAAUGUGCGAUGCACAGAUUAGCUAAAAACAGUAGCACUGCAAACACUCAGAAUAAAGACGGCAGCAGCGCCUGGACUUUGCAGUUUCCCUCUUCGAGUCUACCUUCCAAGACUGACUACCUGAUGAAAACAAGUGACAGGUAGAACCUCCCAUCCACACAAUACCCAUCACCUCUCUAGUCCACACAUCGGAAUUCAGUAUUUCAGUCUGAUUGCUAUGUGAGUGUACAAAAAAAUCUGAAAGUAAAUUGACACACAUCUACCAAAAAAAUAAAGUUUAUGUAUUUAAAUAAAAAAUAUUGCCACAUUGGUUUUCACA